CAACAGCAGUGGGAAUGGAGUCACAGGAAGAAUGAAAGAUAGGAAAGGAGAAGGGCCACAGUACCUGGCUUUGCUGUGCCCUCUCAGCUUCUCUUGGAUUGCUUUCACUCUCAUCCUCAUCUAUUGGUCCCCACU